rnacentral:rRNA from 1 species
CCUACGGGUGGCAGCAGUGAGGAAUAUUGGUCAAUGGGCGCGAGCCUGAAUCAGCCAAGUAGCGUGAAGGAUGACUGCCCUACGGGUUGUAAACUUCUUUUAUAAAGGAAUAAAGUGAGGCACGUUUGCCUUUUUGUAUGUACUUUAUGAAUAAGGAUCGGCUAACUCCGUGCCAGCAGCCGCGGUAAUACGGAGGAUCCGAGCGUUAUCCGGAUUUAUUGGGUUUAAAGGGAGCGUAGAUGGGUUGUUAAGUCAGUUGUGAAAGUUUGCGGCGCAACCGUACAAUUGCAAUUGAUACUGGCAGCCUUGAGUGCAGUUGAGGUAGGCGGAAUGCGUGGUGUAGCGGUGAAAUGCUUAGAUAUCACGAAGAACUCCGAUUGCGAAGGCAGCUUACUAAACUGCCACUGACGUUGAUGCUCGAAAGUGUGGGUAUCAAACAGGAUUAGAUACCCCAGUAGUC